rnacentral:tRNA from 1 species
GUUUCGGUUGCUUAAUGGUUAAAGCCCUGUUCUGAAGAAGCAGUGAUGGUAGUUCAAUUCUAUCCCGAGACA